rnacentral:rRNA from 1 species
UACAGAGGGAGCAGGCGUUGUUCGGAAUUACUGGGCGUAAAGGGCGCGUAGGCGGUUCGAUAAGUCCCGUGUGAAAUCCCUCGGCUCAACUGAGGAAUUGCACGGGAAACUGACGGGCUUGAGUUCGGGAGAGGGAAGCGGAAUUCCGGGUGUAGCGGUGAAAUGCGUAGAUAUCCGGAGGAACACCGGCGGCGGAAGGCGGCUUCCUGGACCGACACGUGACGCUGAGGCGGCGAAAAGCUGAGGGGAGCCAAA